rnacentral:lncRNA from 1 species
CGGGAUCACGGCGUAAGGCCAGAAUAUGCAAAACAACACCAUCAUACAAGUAAAACAUUUGAUAUGCGAUUGCAUUGAUGAUAAAGCCCACGAACGAAGCCCGAAAAGGCCCGGUACCUCCAGGACAUGCGCCGACACGCGCAGGCGAGGCAAAGUGCAACGCCUCAACAAACCCAUCACAUCGUGUGUGUCACGUAGGACGUUAAAUUGGACUGGACCUGCUUAAAUUAUACAUAGCUAUCCGCGCUGCACAAAGUACAUAGGGGUACAUAACUCUUAGAUGGUAGACCCGGUACAAGGAAUUCGGGGCAAAUGGACUGCCGCAAAUGCAUAACGGAAUCUGCAAGCGACGGCAAGGCUAUCUGUGCCCAACUGAAUUGCAAGUCGUCCAAGGGCAUUUUCAAGCAACGGCAAGGGUAUCCGAGGCGUACUGUAAACGGAUCUUGGGAAGGGCGCCAGGGGCAGCCGCGGAAGAUUGAGCUGGCCUAGCUCUGCCUAGCCGGCGUUGCUUCCGUUUGGGCUCCAUCUGUCAGUAAUGUGUCUGAAUGCGUCGCAUGAUGAUUUAGGUGAACAAGGAGGUCAAGUCAUAAAACGUAAUGCGUUUUCCAGCUUACGGUGUCCUUCCCAUUCCCAUUCAUUUACAGGUAGCCCAUUUUCGGAUACCUUACGGACCCCAUCAGUUAGUUACUCGAUUGAGUUGUUAACAAUUCUGGAAUGCCUGUGACCUGC